rnacentral:tRNA from 1 species
UUAAGCGCAAACAAACACAACAAAAAAAAGCACAACUCACCCAAACAACAAAACAC